GAUGAACGCUGGCGGCGUGCCUAAUACAUGCAAGUCGAACGCUUUGUGGUUCAACUGAUUUGAAGAGCUUGCUCAGAUAUGACGAUGGACAUUGCAAAGAGUGGCGAACGGGUGAGUAACACGUGGGAAACCUACCUCUUAGCAGGGGAUAACAUUUGGAAACAGAUGCUAAUACCGUAUAACAAUGACAACCGCAUGGUUGUUAUUUAAAAGAUGGUUCUGCUAUCACUAAGAGAUGGUCCCGCGGUGCAUUAGCUAGUUGGUAAGGUAAUGGCUUACCAAGGCGAUGAUGCAUAGCCGAGUUGAGAGACUGAUCGGCCACAAUGGGACUGAGACACGGCCCAUACUCCUACGGGAGGCAGCAGUAGGGAAUCUUCCACAAUGGGCGAAAGCCUGAUGGAGCAACGCCGCGUGUGUGAUGAAGGGUUUCGGCUCGUAAAACACUGUUGUAAGAGAAGAAUGACAUUGAGAGUAACUGUUCAAUGUGUGACGGUAUCUUACCAGAAAGGAACGGCUAAAUGCGUGCCAGCAGCCGCGGUAAUACGUAUGUUCCAAGCGUUAUCCGGAUUUAUUGGGCGUAAAGCGAGCGCAGACGGUUAUUUAAGUCUGAAGUGAAAGCCCUCAGCUCAACUGAGGAAUUGCUUUGGAAACUGGAUGACUUGAGUGCAGUAGAGGAAAGUGGAACUCCAUGUGUAGCGGUGAAAUGCGUAGAUAUAUGGAAGAACACCAGUGGCGAAGGCGGCUUUCUGGACUGUAACUGACGUUGAGGCUCGAAAGUGUGGGUAGCAAACAGGAUUAGAUACCCUGGUAGUCCACACCGUAAACGAUGAGUGCUAGGUGUUUGAGGGUUUCCGCCCUUAAGUGCCGCAGCUAACGCAUUAAGCACUCCGCCUGGGGAGUACGACCGCAAGGUUGAAACUCAAAGGAAUUGACGGGGACCCGCACAAGCGGUGGAGCAUGUGGUUUAAUUCGAAGCAACGCGAAGAACCUUACCAGGUCUUGACAUCCCUUGACAACUCCAGAGAUGGAGCGUUCCCUUCGGGGACAAGGUGACAGGUGGUGCAUGGUUGUCGUCAGCUCGUGUCGUGAGAUGUUGGGUUAAGUCCCGCAACGAGCGCAACCCUUAUUACUAGUUGCUAGCAUUCAGUUGGGCACUCUAGUGAGACUGCCGGUGACAAACCGGAGGAAGGUGGGGAUGACGUCAAAUCAUCAUGCCCCUUAUGACCUGGGCUACACACGUGCUACAAUGGCGUAUACAACGAGUUGCCAACCCGCGAGGGUGAGCUAAUCUCUUAAAGUACGUCUCAGUUCGGAUUGUAGGCUGCAACUCGCCUACAUGAAGUCGGAAUCGCUAGUAAUCGCGGAUCAGCACGCCGCGGUGAAUACGUUCCCGGGUCUUGUACACACCGCCCGUCACACCAUGAGAGUUUGUAACACCCAAAGCCGGUGGGGUAACCUUCGGGAGCCAGCCGUCUAAGGUGGGACAGAUGAUUAGGGUG
rnacentral:rRNA from 1 species